GACACUGUGGCCGAGUGGUUAAGGCGAGUGAUUAGAAAUCACUUGGGUUUAUCCCGCGUAGGUUCGAGUCCUAUCAGUGUCG